rnacentral:rRNA from 1 species
GAUGAACGCUGGCGGCGUGCCUAAUACAUGCAAGUCGAGCGAACGGACGAGAAGCUUGCUUCUCUGAUGUUAGCGGCGGACGGGUGAGUAACACGUGGAUAACCUACCUAUAAGACUGGGAUAACUUCGGGAAACCGGAGCUAAUACCGGAUAAUAUUUUGAACCGCAUGGUUCAAAAGUGAAAGACGGUCUUGCUGUCACUUAUAGAUGGAUCCGCGCUGCAUUAGCUAGUUGGUAAGGUAACGGCUUACCAAGGCAACGAUGCAUAGCCGACCUGAGAGGGUGAUCGGCCACACUGGAACUGAGACACGGUCCAGACUCCUACGGGAGGCAGCAGUAGGGAAUCUUCCGCAAUGGGCGAAAGCCUGACGGAGCAACGCCGCGUGAGUGAUGAAGGUCUUCGGAUCGUAAAACUCUGUUAUUAGGGAAGAACAUAUGUGUAAGUAACUGUGCACAUCUUGACGGUACCUAGUCAGAAAGCCACGGCUAACUACGUGCCAGCAGCCGCGGUAAUACGUAGGUGGCAAGCGUUAUCCGGAAUUAUUGGGCGUAAAGCGCGCGUAGGCGGUUUUUUAAGUCUAAUGUGAAAGCCCACGGCUCAACCGUGGAGGGUCAUUGGAAACUGGAAAACUUGAGUGCAGAAGAGGAAAGUGGAAUUCCAUGUGUAGCGGUGAAAUGCGCAGAGAUAUGGAGGAACACCAGUGGCGAAGGCGACUUUCUGGUCUGUAACUGACGCUGAUGUGCGAAAGCGUGGGGAUCAAACAGGAUUAGAUACCCUGGUAGUCCACGCCGUAAACGAUGAGUGCUAAGUGUUAGGGGGUUUCCGCCCCUUAGUGCUGCAGCUAACGCAUUAAGCACUCCGCCUGGGGAGUACGACCGCAAGGUUGAAACUCAAAGGAAUUGACGGGGACCCGCACAAGCGGUGGAGCAUGUGGUUUAAUUCGAAGCAACGCGAAGAACCUUACCAAAUCUUGACAUCCUUUGACAACUCUAGAGAUAGAGCCUUCCCCUUCGGGGGACAAAGUGACAGGUGGUGCAUGGUUGUCGUCAGCUCGUGUCGUGAGAUGUUGGGUUAAGUCCCGCAACGAGCGCAACCCUUAAGCUUAGUUGCCAUCAUUAAGUUGGGCACUCUAAGUUGACUGCCGGUGACAAACCGGAGGAAGGUGGGGAUGACGUCAAAUCAUCAUGCCCCUUAUGAUUUGGGCUACACACGUGCUACAAUGGACAAUACAAAGGGCAGCGAAACCGCGAGGUCAAGCAAAUCCCAUAAAGUUGUUCUCAGUUCGGAUUGUAGUCUGCAACUCGACUACAUGAAGCUGGAAUCGCUAGUAAUCGUAGAUCAGCAUGCUACGGUGAAUACGUUCCCGGGUCU